AUUGAACGCUGGCGGCAGGCCUAACACAUGCAAGUCGAACGAGUGGCGGACGGGUGAGUAAUGUCUGGGAAACUGCCCGAUGGAGGGGGAUAACUACUGGAAACGGUAGCUAAUACCGCAUACCAUCGGAUGUGCCCAGAUGGGAUUCGCUAGUAGGGGGGGUAACGGCUAACCUAGGCGACGAUCCCUAGCUGGUCUGAGAGGAUGACCAGACACACCAGAACGAGGACGAGGGCCAGAAUCCUACGGGAGGCAGAAGUGGGGAGUAUUGGACGAUGGGCAGAAGCCUGAUGCAGCCAUGCGGCGUGUAUGAAGAAGGCCGUCGGGUUGUAAAGUACUUUCAGCGAGGAGGCGUUACUCGCAGAAGAAGCACCGGCUAACUCCGUGCCAGCAGCCGCGGUAAUAC
rnacentral:rRNA from 1 species